GCUGCUCCAGCAGAGCCAAACCUCCACCCAGAUUCACCUGGUUCUGGAUCAGCAGACAUGGAGCCGUUAAUGUGUCUGUGGAGCAAGUUUACAAAUUAAAUGCUACUGAGGAAGAAGAGUAUUACUGUGUGGCCACAAAUGAUUUGGAUCAACAAAAAUCAUCUGUGAGUUUUGUUGGUAUUAAAGAUGAUCGAUCAUCUGGAUUCCUGGUCCUUAAUAUAUUGAAGAUCCUGGGCAUUGUAUUGCUCUGCAUUAGCAUCAUCAGCUUUGAGUGCUGGUUCAGAUUCUCCAAGAAACCAAAGAAGGAAACAGAAGAGCCAACCUAUGUCAACAAUGUGAUGGAAACUAAAGCAUCAUGAACCUCAAGGAGACCAGGAAUAUUUCAAAGCCUCUGUCAGAAAGAGGAUUUAUUAUUUCUAUCCAUCUAGUUAAUCUUUCCAAUAAUUAAUGUUUGUGUUUCAACAAGCUUAUUUCUAUCUGCAAAGGCCAAUAGGUGGAGGUCUGGAUACACUGUGGACGCAUCAGCAGUCCAUCACAUUACCAUUCAUUGUGCUUUAGAAAUCACUCAUUACUUCUUGAUACUUUUUUUCUGCAAUGCAAUGUAGUACUUAUUGACUAAAUAGUAAUGCUUCGGUAGAACACUGAAAUAUAAAUGUUUGCAAAAUAAUGUGUAAAUGCCCGUUCCAUGUUUUAUAUGCUGAUUCUAAGUUGUUACCCAUAGUACCCAGCAGGGGCGCUGUAGUUUGGUUCAUGUUGAGUUAGUGCCUUCAUUUAAAACUGUAGAAUGAGAGGAAGUGUUGCUAGCCUCCUGUCAGCCAGCGUUUUGGGCUGAAAUAUCCCACGGACGGGAGGAAGAGGAUGAUGUUCUUCAUCUCAACGACUGGACUGUAGCGCUGAUUCUUCAGAACGGACUGGAAGCUGGAGGUGGCACGGCACGGACUUUGUGCCAUGGACUUUGCGGCCCUCGGACAGCGGAGCGAGGUUCAUGUUUAGAGCUUUAUUGCUUUAGUUAGCGUUAUUAUUAGUAUUAUGUAUUCAUGUUAAACAAAAUGUAUUUUCUUUUCUUUUAGUUUUCACGGUGUAAAUACAAAUCUACUGCACCCGUCGAAGCUCUCCGUUUUCUUUAUUGGGUCUGAGGGACUGCUACAGUGAAAACUCGUCGCUGAGUGAAAGACGGUCCCAUAUCAGGCCUGCG